rnacentral:lncRNA from 1 species
AAGAUUUAUUUGUGGGAUUUCUGCUGAAGAAAUGGGCAUGCCUGUCAAGUGUCAACCCCAAUUUCAGGGUCCUUUCCAUGCUCAUAUGAAAAACUAUGAUUUAGCUGCAUUACAUCUCAGUUGGGUGGUGAUAAAUUUUCCGGUAGCUGGGUAAAAGCAGGGAGGAAAGGGGAAAGGCAUAUGGGCAGAAGCAAAUGACACAUAAGGUACAUUGAGAGGAAAAAAUAACACAAUAAGAAAAGUAAAAUGUAAUGAUCUACCUGGGUAAACGCAUGGAAAAUGCCACUAGAUUGAGUUGCUGAUUGUUUUCCAAACACAAAGGUGUGGAGGAGAAAUAUGAACUUCAACUGUAAAUUUGAGAGGUGACGCAUAGGCAAGAGCAGUCUUUUGGGACAAUGAAAUGGAUCAUCUGAAAAUUAUGUAUGACAACAAAGAUAAAGAUUGUAAAUGCAAUCAAGCUCCAGAAGUCCGAAACCAAAAGCAAAGACUCAUACAUCAAAAAUUUGGGACAAACUGUAAAGGGCAAGGCUCUGCUUGAAAUAUGCCAGCCAACAACUCCUUAAACUUACAAGUGAAAUGUGCCCCAUAAUGUCCCAGGCGGUUGCAUUUGUUCAGAUUUCCAUUAAAGCUCCUCUUUACAGUAGGAUAUUUAAGUGGCCAUCAUCUUUCUUCAACACUUCCAGGUGACGAAUUUCCAAAUUUCAUUCAAUGUCAUCAAUCCAAUCACCAUAUAUCCUACUGAUUUUGUCAGGACCCUUCCAUUUCUUCUGAGUUCUCUGCCCAGGUCUCUGGAUUACACUAGUCGGCCGUUGGGAUGGAACUCCAGCAUGGUAAACAUCUGAAUGCGGGACAGAAGCGACUAAGGGAACUGAAGUGACGAAUGCAACCACAGCAUCUGAUGGAGGUUUUGAAGGCACCCCUCCCUGCUUUGAGUCAGGAGGUGCAGAAGUAGAAUCUCUAGAUUCAUCCACGAGGCCCCCACCAUAACGGUGUAGUUCUGUAGCCAGAAAUAUUUUAUUUCAAAAUAAAAUAUAAAAUUCUUUGCUAUUCCAAUAUAAAAGAACUGCAGUUUUACUUACUUUGUAAAACCCCAUAAAACAUGACAUCAAGCUAAAACAAAGAAAGCAACUCAUGGUAAUUAAAAAACUAGUCAUCUGGGACCUUUAAUCAGGAAUGCAUUUAGUGUCCUGAAAGCCAAGCCAAUCAGAUGAACCUAGAUGCUAAUAUGAAAACUAUGCUUCAAGGUUAUGUAAUAAAAACAAGUGUUUCUGCCUAUCAGAAGGAAUAUUCAACUGUUUCACUUCCCCAAAGCCUUGAGAAGGUGUGAACCCUACAUGUGCUUCCAACUUAUAUCAUGUUCUUCAGUAGUUAACAGUUAAUAACUUCUAAAUGAAUUAGCAACUAAAAAUGUUAAGAGAUCAUUACUUUGUGUCACCAAGGGAAAUAAUAAUGGCUACCCAAAGAAGGAAAUAGUCCAUAUUUUUGUGAAUCCACAAGAAAUUGGCAACUUGGCCAAUGAGAGGCUUAUGCUAUACCCAGACUCCUGAGGUGUAGUUCUCAUGUGAACUCAUGAAAGGCAUUUUCCUUUUACAGGUCUCAAGACAUAAGUCCAAUGCCCUGUGAGCAACCCAAAAGUAAAGUGGACGGUUGAGUUUCUGUAACACCUAGCUUCAAGGAAUACAUUGAUGAUUAAAUCACAAAUGCUUUAAAAAAUAAAUGACUCAGAGAGAGAGCGAGCUGCAGACAUUACACCAUCAAUACAGAUUUUGGAUUACAACCUAUCCAAGAAGCGGAUAAUCCAAAUUAACUUACUUAUCUAGCAAGGUCAACCACAUGUUUCUAUUGGACCCCACAUGUUUCUGUUAGACCAACAGAUCCCCUCAAAUUAGAUUUUGAUGUCCCUAAAUCUGGAAAAUGUUCAAUUGUACACUAGAUUUGUGGAAGCAAUCACAAAUACAUGAAUCAUUGACUCCAAAACAUAUAUUUUCGGUUGGUAGAUAACUUCACCACAGAUAUGGGGGUUUUUUCAUGGCAAAUCCUCAAAAUGCAGACAAAGUGGCACGAUUACAUGUGUGCUUGUGCAUGUGCUCAUGAACAUAUAUUUUCUGUGUAUGCAUCUCUAUAUGUAUGUAAGAAACACUGAAAGCUGUUGGCCGCUAACAUAAACAAUUUUACAAAUGUUGUCACUUGUUAGCCAUUCAUGGCAAGUCCUCAAAAUGCAGACAGAGAAGCUCAAUUACAUGUGUGCUUGUGCAUGAGCUUACGAACAUAUAUUUCCUGAGCAUGAAUCUUCAUAUGCUUAUGAGAAAAACCAAAAGUUGUUAGCUGCUAAUAUGAACAAUUUUACAAAUGCCAUUACUUUUUAGGCAUUUAUACAUUAGGAUCAAAUUAAUGAAGCAAUAACAGCAGCUCUAUGAUAACAGAUCCACUGAACAUGUACUCAAAUACAUUUCAGAAGCAAUAGAAGGGAUGCAGCUGUUUUCAAACACAUACUGAUGGA